rnacentral:rRNA from 1 species
AGCGUACACGGUGGAUGCCCUGGCAGUCAGAGGCGAUGAAGGACGUGCUAAUCUGCGAUAAGCGUCGGUAAGGUGAUAUGAACCGUUAUAACCGGCGAUUUCCGAAUGGGGAAACCCAGUGUGAUUCGUCACACUAUCAUUAACUGAAUCCAUAGGUUAAUGAGGCGAACCGGGGGAACUGAAACAUCUAAGUACCCCGAGGAAAAGAAAUCAACCGAGAUUCCCCCAGUAGCGGCGAGCGAACGGGGAGGAGCCCAGAGUCUGAAUCAGUGUGUGUGUUAGUGGAAGCGUCUGGAAAGGCGUGCGAUACAGGGUGACAGCCCCGUACACAAAAAUGCACAUAUUGUGAGCUCGAUGAGUAGGGCGGGACACGUGGUAUCCUGUCUGAAUAUGGGGGGACCAUCCUCCAAGGCUAAAUACUCCUGACUGACCGAUAGUGAACCAGUACCGUGAGGGAAAGGCGAAAAGAACCCCGGCGAGGGGAGUGAAAAAGAACCUGAAACCGUGUACGUACAAGCAGUGGGAGCCUCUUAAUGGGGUGACUGCGUACCUUUUGUAUAAUGGGUCAGCGACUUAUAUUCUGUAGCAAGGUUAACCGAAUAGGGGAGCCGAAGGGAAACCGAGUCUUAACUGGGCGUUAAGUUGCAGGGUAUAGACCCGAAACCCGGUGAUCUAGCCAUGGGCAGGUUGAAGGUUGGGUAACACUAACUGGAGGACCGAACCGACUAAUGUUGAAAAAUUAGCGGAUGACUUGUGGCUGGGGGUGAAAGGCCAAUCAAACCGGGAGAUAGCUGGUUCUCCCCGAAAGCUAUUUAGGUAGCGCCUCGUGAAUUCAUCUCCGGGGGUAGAGCACUGUUUCGGCAAGGGGGUCAUCCCGACUUACCAACCCGAUGCAAACUGCGAAUACCGGAGAAUGUUAUCACGGGAGACACACGGCGGGUGCUAACGUCCGUCGUGAAGAGGGAAACAACCCAGACCGCCAGCUAAGGUCCCAAAGUCAUGGUUAAGUGGGAAACGAUGUGGGAAGGCCCAGACAGCCAGGAUGUUGGCUUAGAAGCAGCCAUCAUUUAAAGAAAGCGUAAUAGCUCACUGGUCGAGUCGGCCUGCGCGGAAGAUGUAACGGGGCUAAACCAUGCACCGAAGCUGCGGCAGCGACACUAUGUGUUGUUGGGUAGGGGAGCGUUCUGUAAGCCUGUGAAGGUGGCCUGUGAGGGUUGCUGGAGGUAUCAGAAGUGCGAAUGCUGACAUAAGUAACGAUAAAGCGGGUGAAAAGCCCGCUCGCCGGAAGACCAAGGGUUCCUGUCCAACGUUAAUCGGGGCAGGGUGAGUCGACCCCUAAGGCGAGGCCGAAAGGCGUAGUCGAUGGGAAACAGGUUAAUAUUCCUGUACUUGGUGUUACUGCGAAGGGGGGACGGAGAAGGCUAUGUUGGCCGGGCGACGGUUGUCCCGGUUUAAGCGUGUAGGCUGGUUUUCCAGGCAAAUCCGGAAAACCAAGGCUGAGGCGUGAUGACGAGGCACUACGGUGCUGAAGCGACAAAUGCCCUGCUUCCAGGAAAAGCCUCUAAGCAUCAGGUAACAUCAAAUCGUACCCCAAACCGACACAGGUGGUCAGGUAGAGAAUACCAAGGCGCUUGAGAGAACUCGGGUGAAGGAACUAGGCAAAAUGGUGCCGUAACUUCGGGAGAAGGCACGCUGAUAUGUAGGUGAAGCGACUUGCUCGUGGAGCUGAAAUCAGUCGAAGAUACCAGCUGGCUGCAACUGUUUAUUAAAAACACAGCACUGUGCAAACACGAAAGUGGACGUAUACGGUGUGACGCCUGCCCGGUGCCGGAAGGUUAAUUGAUGGGGUUAGCGGUAACGCGAAGCUCUUGAUCGAAGCCCCGGUAAACGGCGGCCGUAACUAUAACGGUCCUAAGGUAGCGAAAUUCCUUGUCGGGUAAGUUCCGACCUGCACGAAUGGCGUAAUGAUGGCCAGGCUGUCUCCACCCGAGACUCAGUGAAAUUGAACUCGCUGUGAAGAUGCAGUGUACCCGCGGCAAGACGGAAAGACCCCGUGAACCUUUACUAUAGCUUGACACUGAACAUUGAGCCUUGAUGUGUAGGAUAGGUGGGAGGCUUUGAAGUGUGGACGCCAGUCUGCAUGGAGCCGACCUUGAAAUACCACCCUUUAAUGUUUGAUGUUCUAACGUUGGCCCGUAAUCCGGGUUGCGGACAGUGUCUGGUGGGUAGUUUGACUGGGGCGGUCUCCUCCUAAAGAGUAACGGAGGAGCACGAAGGUUGGCUAAUCCUGGUCGGACAUCAGGAGGUUAGUGCAAUGGCAUAAGCCAGCUUGACUGCGAGCGUGACGGCGCGAGCAGGUGCGAAAGCAGGUCAUAGUGAUCCGGUGGUUCUGAAUGGAAGGGCCAUCGCUCAACGGAUAAAAGGUACUCCGGGGAUAACAGGCUGAUACCGCCCAAGAGUUCAUAUCGACGGCGGUGUUUGGCACCUCGAUGUCGGCUCAUCACAUCCUGGGGCUGAAGUAGGUCCCAAGGGUAUGGCUGUUCGCCAUUUAAAGUGGUACGCGAGCUGGGUUUAGAACGUCGUGAGACAGUUCGGUCCCUAUCUGCCGUGGGCGCUGGAGAACUGAGGGGGGCUGCUCCUAGUACGAGAGGACCGGAGUGGACGCAUCACUGGUGUUCGGGUUGUCAUGCCAAUGGCACUGCCCGGUAGCUAAAUGCGGAAGAGAUAAGUGCUGAAAGCAUCUAAGCACGAAACUUGCCCCGAGAUGAGUUCUCCCUGACUCCUUGA